GUUCGUUUCGGUAGCCACCGUCGUGAUCGUCUGAAGAAAGUCACAAACAGCAUUCUCGAUCAGUUACAUUACCACUCCUCGUCUGGAUUCGGUGGACGAAAGAAGCCAACGUUCUCGAGUACGAAUAGCGAGGCAAUUGCCACUACUUUCGCCACGUUAAUCUCGUAAACUCUCCUAUUCUAACAGCGAGAAUAACCCGAUAAAAACCUCGAUUUCCAUCCAAAGAUUUUCGAUCGAGAAUCUAGCUGUUUCUAGAAAGCGUGCCACGUUCUUAAAGAUAGAAGCUGCUUUGGAC
rnacentral:lncRNA from 1 species